rnacentral:lncRNA from 1 species
ACAACAAAAAGUUUCACCCAUGCAUGCUACAUUAAUUUUGAAGUUACCAGCAGUUUCAAAGGCAGAGCUGACGCCAAUGCCAGAGGCUGCAUAAUAAAACACCAGAGAAAAGCCAUCCAACAUUAGCUCUGGCUCCAUUCGGACGUGAAUGGCAACGGUACUUCAUCUCAAAUUCUCAAGUGUACAUAUUCACAUAAAACACACACGAGUCACUAAAAACAACAAUCAAACUAGCACUACCAAGUCUUACAUAUACAAUCUGUACCGUCUUUGCAUCUUCGGGCAGUUUAUUUUCUUGUCUCCGGCCCAACAGUAUAUAUUUGCUUCUAACGUGUAUACAUAUAUGCACAUAAAAGAAACAGCCUGAACAGGCUGCAAACACCCAACCCAACAGUUUUUCCUUUGGUCAAGAACCUGCCCACAUCUUCGGUCCUGAGCUGCCCACAGAUCCAGAGUUCACCAGCUACAAUGUACACAGACCUGGUAUAGGAGGAGGAGACCAUUCCGUGGAUGCAGAUAAGGAGAAAUGUGAAAAAGCCCAUACUAGUGAGAUGGAUGGUGCGAGACUCAGCAUCGGAACCGGAUGACGAUGCACGAGAUAUCGUCCUUGCUCAUCCUCCCCAGGGCCUCGGAUGUUAGUCGCUUCGCUGCUGUUUGUGGGUCCUUGGUCGACUUCACCAGAUCAACAGCUUCUUGGUUCUUCAUUACCUUUACCCAGCAAAGACACAGACAAACAACAGAUUUAUAAGCACACUUUUAGGAAUAUAAAUCAUAAUUAUACAUGGCUCCACGUGUUAAUUUGUUGCUCAGGCAUAUCUAUUUGUGUUUAACAUACGACAAGAAAUAGCAGUAUUUUAACUGGAUCACUAAUCAAAGCUACUACGAUUUGGCCCAUCUUAACCAAGUGACAGAUCAGCUAAUUGGUCUUACGAAAUUGCAAUUUUUCUGCUCAGAAAGUUUUUCUUGUCUUUCGCAAUAAAAAAGGUACAUAUAAACUAAUGGAUAAGAAAACAAUAAGAAAAAAAUUUAUGGAUUGAUUUCCCAAAUGAAAAUGUCAAUGUGUGGUCACAAAUUCUGUACUAUGGAAGGUGAUAUCAUAAAGUGAAAUUGGCGGAGAAAACACAUACCUUCCACAAUCCAUCACUGGCAAGUAUGACAAAUUCUACACUCGGAUUUAUCUGUAUAUGCUUAACAUCCGGUUCUGAGCUCAAGUGCGCCUUGAGGCUCUGAUCACCAAAAGCUCUUGCAACGGCAAGUUGGCCAUUUACACGAGGAACGUCACCUAUCAGCAACUAGAAAAUGCAUUGAGACAGUUUACAUUGCGAUAGGAUAAAACAACGAUGAAAUAGUUAGGCAACUAGAUGCUUACCGGGGAAAGUAGAAACAAAACCACCUUGCUUUUCAAUCCUUUUUCGUUCAUUAGUUGUAUGGGGUUCAUGAUCAACGGUAAGCUGAUUAGCAGUACCUCUUUCACACACAACAGCUCUUGAAUCACCUAUAUUUGCUAUCCACAUAUCUUUACCAUCAACUACAAUAGCAGUAACUGCUGUUGAACCGCCUGGUCCUAGUUGUUUAGAAUUUUCCAGAAUAUAUUUGUUUGUAGAGCUGUAUGCAUUUUUAAUGGAUUCUUGAGGGUCCGACCAGAAGAGAGGCUGUAAAUACCAUAAAUCGGAAACAGGAUGAGUACCUUCGUAGAGGAAAUGUCAUAAAUUGAAAUUGCAUAAGUUUCUUUCAGUAUGUUUUACAUGGAAAUUACAUAAAUGUAGUCAUGUUUUACAUGGAAAAUACACAAGAAAAUGAAAAUCUUACCUCUUUCAGUAUGUUGUUAAAAAGAUUAGCUUUCAAAUAACUGGCCACGCUAUCUCCCAAAUGGCCAUCAUAAAUGGCAAACAGACCAAGUUCAUGAUCAUUUUCAUAUCUGUACUCUGCUACGUGGUAGUCUUCCAUGUCAUGGCCAGAUCUUCCUUCCACUAAGUGAAAUCCAUGUGUUACUUUGUUGCUCGACAACUUACUUUGUCCUUUUCCAGUAUCAGAUGAUGAUGAACUGAGACACGCUGCAGUCUUUAGAGUACAUGUAAGAAAACAAAGGUUACAUCAACAGAUUCAUUUUAAAUCGCUAGCAAUUGUUAAAGCACUGAUGGAACACAACAAAGAAAAGGAAUCCAAGUGUGAAAGUAUUAACAUUUACAAUGAAAAUGAAGUUUAUAAUGUCAUAAAAAUAGUUGAUGUAAAAUUAAUAUUCUGAUUACUAUAUAAUUAUCAUGAAAAUUGAAGUGUUCACUAUAGGAUCUUGGACUUGGAUUGGAUCAUCUCGAAACAGAGAAAUGACUGUAUUUUCUAACAAAUCAAACCCAGGUUUCAAAAGUGGAAAAAUGACUUCUUCCGUUUAGUCUCCCUUCAACUGCACAGAAUGAAUGGUACACUAGAGCUAUUUAUCUUCCUGGCUAAAUGCCCUUUUAUAGCUUUGGCCAUAGUUGGUGCAUGUUCCCUUAGUCUUUUUAUUUUCUGGCCUUUUGACGCCAUGUACAGUUUUUCUUUUCCGUUUUUAUUCCUGUAUAUAAUAUAUUUACCAAUUACCACUAGGGGCUUCCCCUACUGUUUCUGCUCAAAGGAAAAAAAAAGUACACCAUAGCCUCACUAGUUAUUGUGAAGGAGCUUGCUGGCGUAGGUGGGAAGAGAAAAUCAUCGAAGAUAUCAGCUGAGACAUGCCCAGUACUAGUUUGACAAAAUGGAAACUGGGAGUUGUAUGUUUUGGGAGUUCCAAAAGAAAAAAAACAUUUUGAGAGAUGGUUAUAAUUAUUCAUCCCUAAUGUUAGGCAUGGUUAAAUCCUGAUGGUUGUGCAGAUGUUUCUCAUCCAUUAAUGCAACAAUUUGGGACACAGACGACCACAUUCACCGCCCUAUCUUCUACAUAUAGGCAUGUGCUGGGUUGACAAACAUAUAUGUGGCAUUCAUAAAUCCAACAGAUCCAUCAUAGCCCAUAGACCCCUACUGAAACAUGACACUCAGAUUCAGAGUUACUCCUUAUACAGUUAUACGGUUAUACCUAACACGGUAACACCAAAAGCUGCUAUAUUGCAGUUUCAAUUUCAGAAACCCUGAAGGCUAGCUGAAAAUCUAGAACUGGAAUGCAUCAAGAUUUGAGAAGCCUCACUUCUGCGAUUUGCCACUCUGACAAGAAUGAUUCAUAGCAACUACACCCCAAACCCAGCUCUUUAUCGCAGCACGUGUGGCUUACUGGCUUUGCAGCGUUCUUGUGCAGGCUCAGGACUAGGCAAGCUAACGCUUGCCCACCAGCAUCGGAUCCUACCCAGUGUAAGGCUCCUCCAAGGUAAGUAGCCCUCUUCAGUCUUCCCCCACCCUCAUGACCAAGCUAACGAUCAAUCCCCGUCCUACGCCCGAGCACCCCCAAUCGGAAGUCGCUUCAUGUCCUGGACGCACAGCUUGCUCUGAGCCGGCCGAUGGCACAGACCACCCGCCCGCGCGAGGGGCAAAAGCUAGCAAAUUAAAAGCUUGAACCUUUCUGAGGAAGUGAACUUAAAGCAACUUUCCUAAAUUAGCACUCAGGGCGUACAGUAACAUCAUGUAGGCUCGCGAAUUCAAGGGUCUCGUCCCGCAAUCGGGCGAGGCCAGCGAGCUAGCCAGCCGGCGGCAGCCGGCCUCGCC